rnacentral:rRNA from 1 species
UAAGGAAUAUUGGUCAAUGGACGCAAGUCUGAACCAGCCAUGCCGCGUGAAGGAUGAAGGUCCUCUGGAUUGUAAACUUCUUUUAUCUGGGACGAAAACGGGAUUUUUAUCUCAAUUGACGGUACCAGAGGAAUAAGCACCGGCUAACUCCGUGCCAGCAGCCGCGGUAAUACGGAGGGUGCGAGCGUUAUCCGGAUUUACUGGGUUUAAAGGGUGCGUAGGUGGGCUUAUAAGUCAGUGGUGAAAUCUCCGAGCUUAACUUGGAAACUGCCGUUGAUACUAUAGGUCUUGAAUUAUCUGGAGGUAAGCGGAAUAUGUCAUGUGGCGGUGAAAUGCUUAGAUAUGACAUAGAACACCAAUUGCGAAGGCAGCUUACUACAUAUAAAUUGACGCUGAGGCACGAAAGCGUGGGGAUCAAACA